AUUGAACGCUGGCGGCGUGCCUAAUACAUGCAAGUAGGACGCAGUUGCGAACGGGUGAGUAACGCGUAGGUAACUACCUAUUAGAGGGGGAUAACUAUUGGAAACGAUAGCUAAUACCGCAUACUAGUAGCUGGACCUGCGUUGUAUUAGCUAGUAGGUAGGGUAAUGGCCUACCUAGGCAACGAUACAUAGCCGACCUGAUGGGGUGAUAGGCCAACAUGGGACUGAGAAACGGCCCAGACUCCUACGGGAGGCAGCAGUAGGGAAACUGCGGCAAUGGGGGGAACCCUGACCGAGCGAAGCCGCGAGAGUGAAGAAGGGUUUCGGUUCGUAAAGCUCUGUUGUUAAGGAAGCGGUACUUAACCAGAAAGGGACGGCUAACUACGUGCCAGCCGCCGCGGUAAUUC
rnacentral:rRNA from 1 species